rnacentral:tRNA from 5 species
GGGGCCAUAGCUCAGUUGGGAGAGCGUCUGGUUUGCAACCAGAAGGUCGUCGGUUCGAUCCCGUCUGGCUCCACCA